rnacentral:rRNA from 1 species
UGCUCAGUAACACGUGGAUAACCUACCCUUAGGACCGGGAUAACCCUGGGAAACUGGGGCUAAUACUGGAUAGGCAAUUAUUCCUGUAAUGGUUUUUUGUUUAAAUGUUUUUUCGCCUAAGGAUGAGUCUGCGGCCGAUUAGGUAGUUGGUUAGGUAAUGGCUUACCAAGCCGUUGAUCGGUACGGGUUGUGAGAGCAAGAGCCCGGAGAUGGAACCUGAGACAAGGUUCCAGGCCCUACGGGGCGCAGCAGGCGCGAAACCUCCGCAAUGUGAGAAAUCGCGACGGGGGGACCCCAAGUGCCAUUCUUAACGGGAUGGCUUUUCAUCAGUGUAAAGAGCUUUUGGAAUAAGGGCUGGGUAAGACGGGUGCCAGCCGCCGCGGUAAUACCUGCAGCCCAAGUGGUGGUCGAUUUUAUUGAGUCUAAAACGUUCGUAGCCGGUUUGGUAAAUCUUUGGGUAAAUCGGGAGGCUCAACUUUCCGACUUCCGAAGAGACUGUCAAACUUGGGACCGGGAGAGGCUAGAGGUACUUCUGGGGUAGGGGUAAAAUCCUGUAAUCCUAGAAGGACCGCCGGUGGCGAAGGCGUCUAGCUAGAACGGAUCCGACGGUGAGGGACGAAGCCCUGGGUCGCAAACGGGAUUAGAUACCCCGGUAGUCCAGGGUGUAAACGCUGCCGACCUGGUGUUGGAGGCCCUUCGGGGGCAUUCAGUGCCGGAGAGAAGUUGUUAAGUCGACUACUUGGGGAGUACGUCCGCAAGGAUGAAACUUAAAGGAAUUGGCGGGGGAGCACCGCAACGGGAGGAGCGUGCGGUUUAAUUGGAUUCAACACCGGAAAACUCACCAAGGGCGACUAUCACAUGAAAGCCAGGCUAACGACCUUGCUUGAUUCUUAGAGGGGUGGUGCAUGGCCGUCGUCAGUUCGUACCGUAAGGCGUUCUCUUAAGUGAGAUAACGAACGAGACCCUCAUCUAUAAUUGCUACUUCACCCUCCGGGGUGGAGGCACAUUAUCGAGACCGCUGGCGCUAAGUCAGAGGAAGGAGAGGUCAACGGUAGGUCAGUAUGCCCCGAAUCUCUUGGGCUACACGCGCGCUACAAAGGGCGGGACAAUGGGCUACGACGCCGAAAGGCGAAGUCAAUCUCGAAACCCGUCCGUAGUUCGGAUUGAGGCUUGUAACUCAGCCUCAUGAAGCUGGAUUCCGUAGUAAUCGCGAAUCAAAAACUCGCGGUGAAUACGUCCCUGCUCCUUGCACACACCGAAU